rnacentral:rRNA from 1 species
GCGAACGUUUGCGGCGGGCUUAACACAUGCAAGUCGAACGAGAAUCCCUUCGGGGAGGAAAGUGGCGCACGGGUGCGUAACACGUGGAUAACCAACCCAUUGGUUUGGGACAACACCGGGAAACUGGUGCUAAUACCAGAUGUGUCGCAGCUGUCUUCAGGCGGUUGCGAGAAAGGCCCGCAAGGGUCGCCAACGGACGGGUCCGCGUCCCAUCAGCUAGUUGGUGAGGUAAUGGCUCACCAAGGCGAAGACGGGUAGCUGGUCUGAGAGGAUGAUCAGCCACACUGGAACUGAGACACGGUCCAGACUCCUACGGGAGGCAGCAGUGGGGAAUAUUGCGCAAUGGGCGAAAGCCUGACGCAGCCACGCCGCGUGAGCGAUGAAGGCCUUCGGGUCGUAAAGCUCUGUGGGGAGAGAAGAAUAAAGCCUGUGAAGAAUGGGCCUUGACGGUAUCUCCUUAGCAAGCACCGGCUAACUCCGUG